CCCGCUGAACUUAAGCAUAUCAAUAAGCGGAGGAAAAGAAACUAACAGGGAUUCCCCUAGUAACUGCGAGUGAAGCGGGAAGAGCUCAAAUUUGAAAUCUGGCAGCUCUCUGAACUGUCCGAGUUGUAAUCUAGAGAAGUGUCCACCUGUGCUGGACCGUGUACAAGUCUGCUGGAAUGGAGCGUCACAGAGGGUGAGAAUCCCGUCUUUGACACGGACUGCCUGCAUGUUUAUGGUGCGCUCUCAAAGAGUCGAGUUGUUAGGGAAUGCAGCUCAAAAUGGUUGGUAAAUGCCAUCUAAAGCUAAAUAUUGGCGAGAGACCGAUAGCGAACAAGCUCCGUGAGGGAAAGAUGAAAAGAACUUUGGAAAGAGAGUUAAACAGUACGUGAAAUUGCUGAAAGGGAAACGCUUGAAGUCAGUCGCGUCGGCUAGAAAUCAACCUUGCUUUUGCUUGGUGUACUUUCUUGUUGAUGGGUCAGCUAUCAAUUUUGUCCGUUGUAUAAAGUCGUUGGGAAUGUGGCAUCUUAGGAUGUGUUAUAUCCCAUUGUCGCAUACAGCGGUCGGGAUUGAGGAACUCAGCACGCGCGCAAGGGACGGGUCUUCUGAUCACGUAUCGUGCUUAGGAUGCUGGUAUAAUGUCUUUAAUCGACCCAUCUUGAAACACGGAAGGGCGAAGUUGCGCGGCCUGCUACACUCAAUCAUCCCCUAUAGGACUAUCC
rnacentral:rRNA from 1 species